UUUGCGCCCACCAUUGGAGAUGCUUUGACCUUGUUCGAGGCAAAAAGAAAGACCUUGUUUGUAUCAUUUCCGUAGAGAGAGAAAUCAGGACAGGAGUGGAUCCGAUUUCAUACCUGAAAAAACUAUAAUGAAUCUUUUCAUCAACUGAAUCUCAGAAGCAGCUAAUCGUAAAAACUCAGGCAUUCUAAUCAUCAUUCAAAGGUUCUUCUUCUUGUGAUCACCAGGUAAUAAAUAUCAAAAGAACAAUUUGAAAUGAGAAUCUAAGAAACAGCUUAUGUGCAGUGCGCAGUUCCAACUUGAGUUUUCUACUUUUCAAUGACUCGUUUCGAUCACAAACGGUGCAGGUACUUUUGAAUAUUAAAGAUCACUACUACUACUACUCAUCUGUCAGUCACUAGAGCUGCUUAAUGGGGGGCUUUAAAUUAAAUAGUAGUUGUGCCUGUGGGUUCAAGGGUACAACUCCACUCCAGUUACCUAGAGGCAUGGUGCGAGCGAAGAAAUUUGCAAGAGAAGGUUGGGGAUUGAGCAGACCAAGCUUUAAAACUGAUGGGGUGGUGGUUGGGUAAUGAAGUAGAAGAACCAAUAAUGAAGCUAGUAAAAGCUUAAGUUGAAUGCACUGCACAAGGCAAAACAGCGUGUUUCAGGUGGUAUUAUUCUUGCACCUGAAGGAAUCAAUGGGAGCAUUUGUGGAUAAGAGAAUCGGUGGAACGGUUCUUGGUUUCAGAUACAUACAAGCUAAUGACCAGUUGAAAGGUUAAAGAUAGUUCGAAUCUCUAGCGAGUCCUUAGGAAGAAGACAUCCGUCAUGGACACACUAUAGCAGUUCCCCUCUUGGAGCAGGGAAGGUGCACAUUUUCGAUGGGAUCACAUGCGAAUCAAUGUGAAGAAAGAGAUGGAGAAAUCUUGUAGUUGAUUCAUUUCGACAAGGGAACACCGACACUAGCUAAUGUAAUCAAACAAGCAUUAGAAGGAAGCGAUGUCGUCGCAAAGGUUGAAGCAACGAAAAAAAGCAGUAAUAUGAUUGUGCUGUCAACACCGAAACCACAGACUGAUAACAGUGUUUAGCUUAUUGUGCUUGAUCGAUUGAAUGAGCUCAAAACUAGGGAACCUGCCUUUUUUCAACAUGAACGAAGAAGGAGAUGGCACAGAUGCUUCAAAACCAUUGCAUCAAGUAAAUUCCAUCACUGUAUCUUCUAGGAGACCUGCAAUACUUGCUGGUGGUACCUAUGCUACUGCUGCCUCGGAAACUGGCAUAUCUCCUUCUACUCUGACCAAAUAAAUUUGCACAUAUUGAUAAAAGUCAAGAGAACAAUUUGAAAUGAGAUCAAGAGUCAAGUUCAGGUAACCUGAACUUGACUCUUGAUCUCACACCGGGCACCAAACAUACACGUCUCUUGCAAGGAUGCAGUAGAAUGAGCUAAGCAGAAUAAUAUUCAGGAAGUCUUGCUGCUAGUGAUAAUUGGAACGUGGUUUAUGCAGUGCAGGGUGGUAUUGUUCUUGCACCGAAUCAAGGGGAAUCAGUAAGAGCAUUUGUGGGAUAAGAGAAUUGGUGGAUACAUUUCUUGGUUUCAUACAAGCUGAUGACCGGUAGAAAGGUCUAAGACAGAUCGAAUCUCCAGUGAGUCCUGAGGAAGAGGCCUCCAUCAUGGGCACAUUAGCAGUUUCCCUCUUGGAGCAGGGGAAGAUGCAUCUUUUUGACGGGAUUAGGUGUGAGUCAAGGUGAAGAAAGAGAUAAUCUCUCUUGGAAUGCCAUCAGUGUCACCGAAUGAAAGAGUUGGAAAGCACGUGGACCCCAUAGGAAUGGAAUGAAUUGAUUAGUGACCCAGUAACUAUAGUAAUUGAUGUUCAAAGUUCUAGGAUUGGGAAGUUUUAAAGGAGCUGUAGAUCCAUGUAUGAUGGCCUUCCAGAAAUUACCUUCUUGGGUGGAUGAUAAUCUGUUACCAGCUGAGCAUGGAUUAGAGGAAAUUCAGGAAAUAGGGAGGCUUCGGGACGUGGAUUAUUUUGAGUCUCAGUUGAGCAUGGAUUAGCUUAAGGAACAACCUGUGAGUGAUGCUUACAUGGAAGCUCCAGAGUGGAAAUAUGGAGUUUCAUGCCCAUAUUUUUUCUCCACCAAAUCUGAAGAAGUGAAAGAUAGGGCAAGAGGGGCACAGACAAUUCAUGCAAAGAAGAUGGGUUCUCCACAGAAAAUUUACUUGGAGUUGGAAGUUAUGGAUCUGUUUACAAGGAAUUGUUAGUACUAAACCAAGUGGCACCGUCAGGUGUUGCAUGAAAGUACUAGACCUUCAAAGACGAGGAGCUUCAAAAAGUUUCAUGGAUGAAUGUGAAGCAAUGAGAUGCAUUCAGCAUCGAAAUCUAGUGAAGAUGCCGAUUUGUUGCUCGAGUAUUGAUUUAAAGGAAAUGAAUUCAUAGCUCUAGUCUCCGAGUUCAUGCCAAAUGGAAAUGUUGAUAAUUGGUUGCAUCCAACAGCUGCAACUUCAAAGGUCAGCGAGAACAUCACUGGGGUUUAUGAAGUGACUAAAUGUAUCCAUUGAUGUUGCUUCUGCACUAGAUUAUCUUCAUCAAGAUUGUCAAACUCCAAUUGCUCAUUGUGAUCUAAAGCCAGAUACUACUUUACUUGACGAUAACAUGAAGGGUCAUGUUUGUUAUUUCGGAUCAGGAAAGUUUCUUGGUGGGGUCAUCAUCGGUGUUGAAUCUGAACCCCAUACGAACAGUACUUUGGUCGGGAUAAGGGGCUCGAUUGGUUAUGCUACUCCAGGUAGAAGUUUUGGCUCAAUUGGUUAUGCUGCUCCAGUUAUGGGAACAUGGUGCUAGAGUGGUUUCCCCAACGAGACCUACAGGUUGCAUGAUCAUGGAUGGUUUAAGACUCACACAUUUGUUAAGACAGCUCCACUUAGAGAUCGUGAAUGCAGAUCGUUGACCUACAGUACUACUUGUUCCUGUCCAUCCCGAAGACAAUGAUGAUACCAACAAUGAAAAUCAUUUGCUUAAGAAUGACCACUAUUCUCAUUGUGGUCAAUUUUGUAAGUCAUAUCUGAUUGACUUAGAAGAUCCGCAAUUAUUUAGGUUAUUACUUUGUGAUUCCAAGUUCUUAUUUGAGUUUUUCCAGACUCUAGGACCUAAUAAUUUGGAUCCAACCUAUGAAGAAACGCAACGCAGCCAAUGAAAAUAUUCUAUUUAGACC